rnacentral:rRNA from 1 species
UACNGAAGUGGCGAGCGUUACUCGGAUUCAUUGGGUGUAAAGGGCAGGUANGCGGCUCUGUAAGUUGGGGGUGAAAUCCUUUGGCUCAACCAAAGAACUGCCUUCAAAACUACAGAGCUUGAGGACAGGAGAGGAGAGCGGAAUUCCCNGUGUNAGGGUGAAAUCUGUANAUAUCGGGAGGAACACCUGUGGCGAAAGCGGCUCUCUGGCUUGUCCCUGACGCUAAUCUGCGAAAGCUANGGUAGCAAACAGGAUUAGAUACCCUGGUAGUCCUANCCGUAAACGAUNANCACUAAGUGUUGGAAGUUUAACUUUCAGCGCCGUAAGAUAACUCGUUAAGUGCUCCACCUGGGGACUACNACCGCAAGGUUAAAACUCANAGGAAUUGACNGGGGCCCGCACAAGCNGUGGAACAUGUNGUUCAAUUCCACNCUACNCNAANAANCUCACCCCGGCUUGACAUGUUNGAAAUUAUGGANCCGAAACCCNACAAACUGUCCAUUCCUGAACCUGCCNGUUUUUCNUGCUGUCNUCACNCCUNUCCUGAAAUUUGGUUUANUCCCCCACAACNCACCAACANCUUAUUCUACUUUUUUCUGCAAACC